GACGAACGCUGGCGGCGUGCCUAAUACAUGCAAGUAGAACGCAGUUCCGAACGGGUGAGUAACGCGUAGGUACCUGCCUCAUCGCGGGGGAUAACUAUUGGAAACGAUAGCUAAUACCGCAUAUUGUGAGAUGGACCUCAGUUGUAUUAGAUAGUUGGUGAGGUAAAGGUGCACCAAGACGACGAUCCAUAGCCGACCUACGAGGGUGAUAGGACAGACUAGGACUGGGACACGACACAGAAACGUACGAGAGGCAGCAGGAAGGAAUCAUCGGGAAUGGACGGAAGUCUGAACGAGCAACGCGGCGUGAGUGAAGAAGGAUUUCGGAUCGGAAAGCUCUGAAGUUAGUGAAUCGGUAACUAACCAGAAAGGGACGGCUAACGACGUGACAGCAGCCGCGGUAAUAC
rnacentral:rRNA from 1 species